AACGAACGCUGGCGGCAUGCCUAACACAUGCAAGUCGAACGAGAUCCUUCGGGGUCUAGUGGCGCACGGGUGCGUAACGCGUGGGAAUCUGCCCUUAGGUUCGGAAUAACAGUUAGAAAUGACUGCUAAUACCGGAUGAUGACGUUAAGUCCAAAGAUUUAUCGCCUGAGGAUGAGCCCGCGUAGGAUUAGCUAGUUGGUGUGGUAAAGGCGCACCAAGGCGACGAUCCUUAGCUGGUCUGAGAGGAUGAUCAGCCACACUGGGACUGAGACACGGCACAGACUCCUACGGGAGGCAGCAGUGGGGAAUAUUGGAACAUGGGCGCAAGCCUGAUCCAGCAAUGCCGCGUGAGUGAUGAAGGCCUUAGGGUUGUAAAGCUCUUUUACCCGGGAUGAUAAUGACAGUACCGGGAGAAUAAGCCCCGGCUAACUCCGUG
rnacentral:rRNA from 1 species